UGGACUGGCCGAAAGGCCCUGGUCCACCGAAACGGCGUGGGGAUCCCGC
rnacentral:ncRNA from 1 species